AUUGAACGCUGGCGGCAGGCCUGACACAUGCAAGUCGAACGGUAACAGGGAUCAGCUUGCUGAUUCGCUGACGAGUGGCGGACGGGUGAGUAAUGUCUGGGAAACUGCCUGAUGGAGGGGGAUAACUACUGGAAACGGUAGCUAAUACCGCAUAACGUCGCAAGACCAAAGAGGGGGACCUUCGGGCCUCUUGCCAUCGGAUGUGCCCAGAUGGGAUUAGCUAGUAGGUGGGGUAACGGCUCACCUAGGCGACGAUCCCUAGCUGGUCUGAGAGGAUGACUAGCCACACUGGAACUGAGACACGGUCCAGACUCCUACGGGAGGCAGCAGUGGGGAAUAUUGCACAAUGGGCGCAAGCCUGAUGCAGCCAUGCCGCGUGUAUGAAGAAGGCCUUCGGGUUGUAAAGUACUUUCAGCGGGGAGGAAGGGAGUAAAGUUAAUACCUUUGCUCAUUGACGUUACCCGCAGAAGAAGCACCGGCUAACUCCGUG
rnacentral:rRNA from 1 species